AUACGUAGGGGGCAAGCGUUAUCCGGAUUUACUGGGCGUAAAGGGUGCGUAGGUGGUUUCUUAAGUCAGGAGUGAAAGGCUACGGCUCAACCGUAGUAAGCUCUUGAAACUGUUUAUCUUGAGUAUCGGAGAGGCAGGCGGAAUUCCUAGUGUAGCGGUGAAAUGCGUAGAUAUUAGGAGGAACACCAGUGGCGAAGGCGGCCUGCUGGACGACAACUGACACUGAGGCGCGAAAGCGUGGGGAGC
rnacentral:rRNA from 1 species